GACGAACGCUGGCGGCGUGCCUAAUACAUGCAAGUUGAGCGCUGAAGGUUGGUACUUGUACCAACUGGAUGAGCAGCGAACGGGUGAGUAACGCGUGGGGAAUCUGCCUUUGAGCGGGGGACAACAUUUGGAAACGAAUGCUAAUACCGCAUAAAAACUUUAAACACAAGUUUUAAGUUUGAAAGAUGCAAUUGCAUCACUCAAAGAUGAUCCCGCGUUGUAUUAGCUAGUUGGUGAGGUAAAGGCUCACCAAGGCGAUGAUACAUAGCCGACCUGAGAGGGUGAUCGGCCACAUUGGGACUGAGACACGGCCCAAACUCCUACGGUAGGCAGCAGUAGGGAAUCUUCGGCAAUGGACGAAAGUCUGACCGAGCAACGCCGCGUGAGUGAAGAAGGUUUUCGGAUCGUAAAACUCUGUUGGUAGAGAAGAACGUUGGUGAGAGUGGAAAGCUCAUCAAGUGACGGUAACUACCCAGAAAGGGACGGCUAACUACGUG
rnacentral:rRNA from 1 species